GACGAACGCUGGCGGCGUGCCUAAUACAUGCAAGUCGAACGAACCGCGACUAAGUGCUUGCACUAAGUCAAGGUGAGUGGCGAACGGGUGAGUAACACGUGGGUAACCUACCUCAUAGUGGGGGAUAACAGUCGGAAACGACUGCUAAUACCGCAUAGGACAUAGGAUCACAUGAUCCAGUGAGGAAAGGUGGCGCAAGCUAUCGCUAAGAGAUGGACCCGCGGUGCAUUAGCUAGUUGGUAGGGUAAAGGCCUACCAAGGCGAUGAUGCAUAGCCGACCUGAGAGGGUGAUCGGCCACAUUGGGACUGAGACACGGCCCAAACUCCUACGGGAGGCAGCAGUAGGGAAUCUUCCGCAAUGGACGCAAGUCUGACGGAGCAACGCCGCGUGAGUGAAGAAGGUCCUCGGAUCGUAAAGCUCUGUUGUUAGAGAAGAACAGCGCAUAGAGUAACUGCUAUGCGUGUGACGGUAGCUAACCAGAAAGCCACGGCUAACUACGUG
rnacentral:rRNA from 1 species